AGGCUUUGAUCCUGGCUCAGGAUGAACGCUGGCGGCGUGCUUAACACAUGCAAGUCGAACGAAGUCUUCGGACUUAGUGGCGGACGGGUGAGUAACGCGUGAGGAUCUGCCCUUAGGUUGGGGACAACCACUGGAAACGGUGGCUAAUACCCAAUGUGCCGAGAGGUGAAAGGUUAACUGCCUGAGGAUGAACUCGCGUCUGAUUAGCUAGUUGGUGGGGUAAGGGCUCACCAAGGCGACGAUCAGUAGCUGGUCUGAGAGGAUGAUCAGCCACACUGGGACUGAGACACGGCCCAGACUCCUACGGGAGGCAGCAGUGGGGAAUUUUCCGCAAUGGGCGAAAGCCUGACGGAGCAACGCCGCGUGAGGGAGGAAGGCCCUAGGGUUGUAAACCUCUUUUCUCUGGGAAGAAGAUCUGACGGUACCAUGAGGAAUAAGCCUCGGCGUAAAUCCGUG
rnacentral:rRNA from 1 species